rnacentral:lncRNA from 1 species
AUGCUUUUUGGCAUGAGCAAUGAUAUUUGGACAGAAAAAUUUGAUAGCGCGCUUGUUUCUGUCGGCGCUCUGUCAGCACUUCUGCAUUUUUGCAUCAUUUAGAUGUACAUUUACUUUUGCAGCCUCCCCGGAGACUAUGGAUUCGACCCACUUGGUCUCUCAGACCCUGAAGGCACAGGAGGGUUCAUUGAGCCAAAAUGGCUGGCCUACGGCGAGGUCAUCAACGGUCGUUAUGCCAUGUUGGGAGCUGUGGGAGCCAUUGCACCGGAGAUUCUUGGCAAGGCAGGCCUCAUUCCGCAAGAAACUGCCCUGGCCUGGUUCCAAACCGGUGUGAUCCCCCCAGCGGGAACAUACAACUACUGGGCAGACCCUUACACACUUUUCGUCCUGGAAAUGGCACUCAUGGGAUUUGCCGAGCACCGGAGAUUCCAAGACUGGGCAAAUCCAGGAUCAAUGGGCAGGCAAUACUUC